UCUUUGGUUAGGUAGCAGAAACUACGGUUAUGGCAUAGGGGGACACACCGUGACCCGCUACAACCAAAUUCAUCGUGGCCAUUCGAAAAUGAUCUUGGAACAGAGGCGGAACGAACGUUGCAGGGGCUUUUGGGAAACUACCUUUUAUAACGUCGAAGAUAUGACAGGGAGGGGACACGCAGACGAUGAAACGGAGACGUUUUCUGCGGCACACAACUACUUAUAGGCUAGUUGGUUAGCCGAAGCGCCUCUGACUCUGACGUCUGCGAUUUGGGUCCGCGUCUACUCUGAACCACAUCUGGGAAUUGUCAACAGUCGACCUGCGAAGUCAAGGAGCUUUUGUGAGCCAAAAUCGGUUGCCGCUAUUGUUGCUCGCUGAACAUUUUCACCACGUCAUCCUAGUUGUGUGUGCGGAAUACAAAAGGGGAAAGGAACAGCAGGAAAGAGCCCAGAUCAGCGACUAGAAAGUUGUCUCAUUCCGUUCCACCGCCCACCAGACGCUGCGUAGCUGAGAUGGCUGAAAGCCUCUCAUUUGCCCUUACAGUUGAUGGCGACUCUCUCAACCUAUUUGAUCAGUGGAUGAUUCGAUGAACGAAAGAUCAAGCCUGAGGGUCAAUGCUUCUUUUAGGCAGAUGACGACACUAGCUAAGUUUCGGAUGUCCUUGAAACUCUCUCUAUACGCACAUACACAGAGCAUUAAUAUUAAUGAGAGUGUCGUUGAUGGGCACGCAACUCCCUUUGCUUUCGGUCCGGUCUGAACGACAGGCAAGACCUUUCUGAGUCCAACUUCGCCGCAAAGUCUAUGAGGCCACUGCAGAGCGGAGUUCGAUUCAGAAGCGCUAACGUAUGUCAGGGAAAGAAGACGAGGAAAGCUAUUGGAUCUGGUGGCUGACAGAAAGAUGCCAGGGAUUAGUGCGAAAGGCGCCGUAAAACAGUGGGUACGGGCAGAGGGUACAAUCUUGCUGGUAUCCUUAACCAGCCGGCACGCUAAUUAAAGUCAACCGAACUUACCACCACAGCAACGUUAUGUGGGUUAAAUAAGAUGAGGCAAUUGGGAACCAGAUGGAUUGGUAGCCGUUCACGUUAUGACCGUUGAGUAUUACGCAGCAACAGGCAAAGGGACUCAGAGGUAGUUCCGAGACUCGGGUUUCUCCAGGACAUAUAUCCAGAGCCACGAUUGGCACUUGGUAACAGCUGCAACUCUCUUCAGCAGCAUAACAAAGGGAUAUCGUUUGCAAUAACUUAUGAAAGGUCUUACCUAGAAGUCCGUUCUAGUACUGGCUACCAAGCUGCACUUUUAUGGAAACGAAUACAAAGAAGACAUCAUGGUGCAACAUAGCGUUUGUAGUGUAAUUAUUACAUCGUCAGCAAGCAUUCUUCAAUAUAUCCAUUGUAGAGCUACACACUGAUAUCCAGCAACCCGAAACGGUGCAUUGUUAGUUACAAAGGGAGCUUCAC